UUAACUCACACUUGUAUGGAGUUGAAACGUUUGCCUAAGUUUGGCACUAGGGGAGCUGUUACAACUUCAUAACAAUUUGAGUUA
rnacentral:pre_miRNA from 1 species